rnacentral:rRNA from 1 species
AGAGUUUGAUCAUGGCUCAGAUUGAACGCUGGCGGCAGGCUUAACACAUGCAAGUCGAGCGGGGAAAGGUAGCUUGCUACCUGACCUAGCGGCGGACGGGUGAGUAAUGCUUAGGAAUCUGCCUAUUAGUGGGGGACAACAUCUCGAAAGGGAUGCUAAUACCGCAUACGUCCUACGGGAGAAAGCAGGGGACCUUCGGGCCUUGCGCUAAUAGAUGAGCCUAAGUCGGAUUAGCUAGUUGGUGGGGUAAAGGCCUACCAAGGCGACGAUCUGUAGCGGGUCUGAGAGGAUGAUCCGCCACACUGGGACUGAGACACGGCCCAGACUCCUACGGGAGGCAGCAGUGGGGAAUAUUGGACAAUGGGGGGAACCCUGAUCCAGCCAUGCCGCGUGUGUGAAGAAGGCCUUUUGGUUGUAAAGCACUUUAAGCGAGGAGGAGGCUACCGAGAUUAAUACUCUUGGAUAGUGGACGUUACUCGCAGGAUAAGCACCGGCUAACUCUGUGCCAGCAGCCGCGGUAAUACAGAGGGUGCAAGCGUUAAUCGGAUUUACUGGGCGUAAAGCGCGCGUAGGUGGCCAAUUAAGUCAAAUGUGAAAUCCCCGAGCUUAACUUGGGAAUUGCAUUCGAUACUGGUUGGCUAGAGUAUGGGAGAGGAUGGUAGAAUUCCAGGUGUAGCGGUGAAAUGCGUAGAGAUCUGGAGGAAUACCGAUGGCGAAGGCAGCCAUCUGGCCUAAUACUGACACUGAGGUGCGGAAGCAUGGGGAGCAAACAGGAUUAGAUACCCCGGUAGUCC